rnacentral:rRNA from 1 species
GAUGAACGCUGGCGGCGUGCUUAACACAUGCAAGUCGAACGGUGAAGCAGAGCUUGCUCUGUGGAUCAGUGGCGAACGGGUGAGUAACACGUGAGCAACCUGCCCCUGACUCUGGGAUAAGCGCUGGAAACGGCGUCUAAUACUGGAUAUGAGCUGCGACCGCAUGGUCAGCAGUUGGAAAGAUUUUUCGGUCUGGGAUGGGCUCACGGCCUAUCAGCUUGUUGGUGAGGUAAUGGCUCACCAAGGCGUCGACGGGUAGCCGGCCUGAGAGGGUGACCGGCCACACUGGGACUGAGACACGGCCCAGACUCCUACGGGAGGCAGCAGUGGGGAAUAUUGCACAAUGGGCGAAAGCCUGAUGCAGCAACGCCGCGUGAGGGAUGACGGCCUUCGGGUUGUAAACCUCUUUUAGCAGGGAGGAAGCGAAAGUGACGGUACCUGCAGAAAAAGCGCCGGCUAACUACGUG